rnacentral:rRNA from 1 species
UUCGUCCAUGUGAAACUCCUUCGACGAGUCGAGUUGUUUGGGAAUGCAGCUCAAAAUGGGUGGUAAAUUUCAUCUAAAGCUAAAUAUUGGCCAGAGACCGAUAGCGCACAAGUAGAGUGAUCGAAAGAUGAAAAGCACUUUGAAAAGAGAGUUAAACAGUAUGUGAAAUUGUUGAAAGGGAAGCGCUUGCAAUCAGACUUGAGCUUAACGGUUCCCCCUUCGUUCUCGAUGGGUUAUUCCGUUUUGUCCAGGCCAACAUCAGUUCGGGUGGUUAGUUAAAGACUUUAGGAAUGUAUCUACCCUCCGGGGUCGACUUAUAGCCUAGAGUGUCAUGUAGCCUACCUGGACUGAGGAACGCGCUUCGGCUCGGAUGUUGGCGUAAUGGUUGUAAGCGACCCGUCUUGAAACACGGACCAAGGAGUCUAACAUCUAUGCGAGUUUUAGAGUUUCAAACUCUGAGGCGUAAUGAAAGUGAACGGAGGUAAGAAGCCUUUAGGCUGCAUUAUCGACCGAUCUUGAUGUCUUCGGAUGGAUUUGAGUAAGAGCAUAGCUGUUGGGACCCGAAAGAUGGUGAACUAUGCCUGAAUAGGGUGAAGCCAGAGGAAACUCUGGUGGAGGCUCGCAGCGGUUCUGACGUGCAAAUCGAUCGUCAAAUUUG